AGAGGGCACAGGACCUCAGUUGAUGUGAAUCCUACAGCUGCACUGCAGGAAUGACUAGAGCAAAUGGGCAUUUCUAGAAGGACAAGCUCAUGUGAGGAGGAGGUACAGACAGAGCACAGAAGAAGUGGUCAGGGAGACCUGCUGUUCAAAGAAACAUUUUUGCUUGCAUUGGUAAAGUUGAAAUCUCUCUUGGAAGCUGGAACAGCCUC